rnacentral:lncRNA from 1 species
CUGGCCCGGGUCGGCGGACGCUAGCGUGGCGGGUGGGUCCCAAGUCUGACAUCGCAGUCCGGGCGCGCUCUGAGUCUAGUCUUUUGGAUUGGAGUAGGAAGUUGGGGGGCUUUUAAUUUAUGCUCAGGACUAUCAUUUGUUCUGGGUUUCAGGAGGGAGGAGAAGCCACUAGAAGCUUCAGGAAAAGUCCCACGGAGUCCCCAGGGCAAUCGCAGUUUCCCUCCCAAGGAUGGGGUAAUUUUGUAAUUUUGUACUGUUUCUUUAUUAGGUCCUUUAAAAUCUGUUUUUCCUCCUUUUCCUUCCUUCACUCUCCUUCACCACCCUUUUCACUUCUCCUUUUCCCUAUCUUUAAAAUUUUCUUUUUAAAUUCAUUUUCUUUUUUUGAGGAAGAUUAGCCCUGGGCUAACAUCUGCCACCAAUCCUCCUCUUUUUACUGAGGAAGACUGGCCUUGAGCUAACAUCCGUGUCCAUCUUCCUCUGCUUUAUCUGUGGGACGCCUGCCACAGCAUGGCUUGACAAGGGGUGCAUAGGCCUGCACCUGGGAUCUGAACCGGCCAACCUCAGCCGCUGAAGCGGAAGCUAGGUGGAGGCCUGGCCCACCCCUCUGCACCUUGAGACUUUCACAUGAAAGGUGCUGAUUCCAUUCUACAUCGACAGCAAAUAAUCUUAUUUUGAAAAAGGAAAGAGACGGAAGGCUGAACAAAAUAAUUUACCAUCGAGUUCUGCUCGUUUCAUUUGCCUGGCAAAACCUGGAGAAGGAUGAGAACCGUAGCACCGUUCUUGUUUCUCCCGGGCGCCGGAUGGCUCUUUUUGGUCAGGCCAGCCUCUCAUUUGGGGUUGCAACUUGCAUUUGAAUAGCUGCCUGGGCUUGUUAUGGACCCGGGAAAGCUCUGAAAGGGAAUCACUAUGCAAAUUGUCCCAGUUACAAUCGAAAGGUUCGAUCUCCAGGAGCUGCCUGACGGAAGUUGAUGUCAGCUAUCUGUGCAUUAGGGUUGCAUUACUGCCUUCGCCGGCCUCCUCACCACCCCCGCUCGCGCCUGCCAGGGAGCCUUUUUGUUUUUUUUCUUAUGUGUAUAUUUUCCCUCAGUGAUUAAAAAAAGGGAAGAAAAAAAGGGCUGAAG